UAUUCGUCCUCGAACACUAUCUGGAGUGGUGUAGGUUUAUCAUUUCAGGUGGAGGUCAAUCAGUGGGGAUGACAGAUGACGGGGCACUAAUUGUGUAUAUUUAAUAUAUGGUCAUAUAAAUGGUAAAUAACUAAUAAUUUAAUUAUAAUAUUAUUGUACUAGUCAAAUCAGGUCCAGUGUGGUUUAACUUUAGUUUUUAAAAUUAAAUUUUUCAGGUAGAUUCCUGGUAGAGAUCUACUAUAUUAUCGAGAGAGACAUUCUAGAACCAGAAUAUAGAUCUAGAUAUAUCUAUUAUUUCUAUUCUUAGCAUCUAUAUCGACUAUAAGCUACUAUAGUAGAUCCGAUGUAUAUAAUUUUUCUUUAAGAGCUGAGGCCCAUGUUUUUUCACUUUCCAUAGCUUUCUUGGUCACUGUCUCUCUCCAACUAGUGCGGUUUAGUGCUUUGUCUUCCCAGUGGACAGUAUCAAUGUUCACUAUUUUUAAACCUCGUUUUAUUACAUCCAUGUAACGGAGGUGGGGGCGACCAGUUUUUCUUGAACCAGACGCAAGUUGCCUUGUAUAGAAUGAUUUUUUGGGAUGCAUAUGUCCUCCAUCUGUCAAACAUGUCUGGGUCAACACAGACAGCCGUAUCUGAGGACUGUAAAGAUGCUGGGAAGACCCGUUUGCGUGAAGAUCUCAGUGUUGC